rnacentral:rRNA from 1 species
UACGUAGGGUGCAAGCGUUGUCCGGAAUUAUUGGGCGUAAAGAGCACGUAGGCGGUUUGUUGCGUCGGCUGUGAAAUCCCGAGGCUCAACCUCGGGUCUGCAGUCGAUACGAGCAAACUAGAGUGUUGCAGGGGAGACUGGAAUUCCUGGUGUAGCGGUGAAAUGCGCAGAUAUCAGGAGGAACACCAAUGGCGAAGGCAGCACUCUGGGACGUGACUGACGCUGAGACGCGAAAGCGUGGGGAGCAAACAGG